AGGUAGAGUUCCACAGUACGUUUCUCUAUACCUGCGGUAAUUGUGGAGAACCCCGUCUUUUAAAUCAAGUGAUAAUCCUUAUCACUGAUAAACUUUAAUCCUUUUCUGGUUAAACAGGUGAAACGUGAGAGAUAAUAAAAUCCAUCCAGGGAAUGUGAGAAGGUCAAAAGUGAAAGGUGAAAGUUCACUACAUAGCCUCUCUCAUGCACAUUGUCACCAGGAAAGGAAAGGUCGGCAAAUGUAAUUGGAAAGAACUACAUGAAGGUUCCAGGAAUAAAUCCAAGUCUUCCAGUUUGGCAGGAACCUUUACCUGCUGAGCCAUCUUGCUGCCUCUCCUCUAAGGAAAAAUUAUUAUUCUUAAUUGUGGACAUGUGUGAGGAUUCACAUGCGAGUGCAUUAACUAUGGGCCAUCCCCCUGGGAUAGGAGUUGCACGUGGUUGUGAAACAUUCAGUGUGAGUACUGAGCAACAAGUGCUCUAAACUGCUGAGCCUUUUCUCCAGCCCUUUAAAAGAAUGGGUGCAGAGGAAAUGAAAGAAAGGGGGAAGAAAAAAAUUAAAGAGGGGGUUAUCACUGUAGUCACUUCCGUUAAAAGAAUAAAGCAGGGCUGGAGAGAUGGCUCAGCGAUUAAGAGCACCCGACUACUCUUCCAGAGGUCC
rnacentral:sRNA from 1 species